CUGCUCCUAUGAGUCCAUUCCCUCACACGAUCAUGCAUUCACCCACAGAUACGUGAGCAACGUGUGUGCUCGAUGUCAGAGGAAAUACAGCGGCUGGCUCACCCCGCCCCUCCCAGAGGGACGAUCUACACGCAGUGUUAGGAGGGGGCACGGAGUCCACAGAUCAUGGGAAGAACUCCAUGAAUGGCCUGUGACUUGAAGCAGAAGCAGACACUUUCCAGACAGGAAAAGAGGGCCAUGCUGGAGGGGGAAGACCAGCAGAGGACUUUCGGUACGUCAAGUCCCAGGGGCUCAGGAUAUGUGCAUGGGGCACCUGAAAGACUGGAGAGGUGGGGAGCUGACUUCCAGUCCCUGCGGUGAGGGGGCUUUCGCCCAGGCUCUUAGUGACCCAGCGACAUCCUAGGAGACAAGGAGUCCAACUCCCAGAGUGGUAUUAAUGAUCAAAGAUGCCAUUUGUGAAGUGCCUGACCCUCAAGAUGGUCCAAAGCUGGAGUUACCCACUCGGGUGGAAGCAGGACUUGAAAGCAGUACUGCUUUGUCCUUUACACAACACUGUUUCUCAUGAAAAUCACAGACACUCAGUAGAUAACGUGAUGAAUGAGAGUCCACUGGCCACAGAGGAGAGUGUAUUUAUUCCACCAGGUUAACCAAAACGUCUCCAUUGGCUACAAAGUUCCCGGGCACGCAGCCUGUCCCCACCCAUGGGAGUCCCCUGGGGUGUGCAGGCUGUCAAUGAAAUGUCAUUCUGCGACUGCCACACUUCAGGGCUUCUUCUGACAAACAGAUGGUGACUUCUGACAUCCUUUGCAUGGUGUUUUUGCCCGCCCUGGGGAAACCAGCAUUUGUUUCCCUCUGCUCUGACUCGUCACAGAGUUCCUUCCCCCUGACUUUGAGAAGUAAAUAAAAAAUGCUUUCCUUACA
rnacentral:lncRNA from 1 species